UCCCCAGUGGCUCAGCAGUAAAGCAUCUAUCUGCAAUGCAGGAGAUUCAGGGUUCAAUCCCUGGGUUUGGGAA
rnacentral:tRNA from 1 species